rnacentral:rRNA from 1 species
AGAGUUGAUCAUGGCUCAGGAUGAACGCUAGCUACAGGCUAACACAUGCAAGUCGGAGGGAAACGACAUCGAAAGCUUGCUUUUGAUGGGCGUCGACCGGCGUACGGGUGAGUAACGCGUAUCCAACCUGCCCACCACUUGGGGAUAACCUUGCGAAAGUAAGACUAAUACCCAAUGAUAUCUCUAGAAGACAUCUGAAAGAGAUUAAAGAUUUAUCGGUGAUGGAUGGGGAUGCGUCUGAUUAGCUUGUUGGCGGGGUAACGGCCCACCAAGGCAACGAUCAGUAGGGGUUCUGAGAGGAAGGUCCCCCACAUUGGAACUGAGACACGGUCCAAACUCCUACGGGAGGCAGCA